ensembl:snRNA U4 U4 spliceosomal RNA
AGCUUUGCGCAGUGGCAGUAUCGUAGCCAAUGAGGUUUAUCCGAGGCGCGAUUAUUGCUAAUUGAAGGGACACAUGAACCCCCAUGUUUAUAGCAGCACUAUCAACAGUAGCCAAAGUAUGGAAAGAGCCCAAAUGUC